UCAUUGGUCAUUAAACAAACGUCUUGUA
rnacentral:sRNA from 1 species